rnacentral:lncRNA from 1 species
UCCGAUCUUACGCAGUUCCAGAAAAUAUGUAUCCCAUAAAUAUACACAACCUCUAAGUACACACAAUUUGUUUUUAAUUAAAAAAGUAAAAUAAAAAAAAAAAGAAAACAUAAAAGAAAAUAUAGAAAAGCUACAAGGACUCUCAUUUUCUCACACUUAACACCUCAAUAUUCCUCUUGGUUCCUUCUGCCCUCCCUACCUCUCUCCACUCCCCUUUUAUGGGUCUCAGUUUUUUGGUGGAGGCUGAGCCCACCUGUGGCUCCCAGGGCAGGAAGGACUGGGUGGAUCAGGCUCCUCUGCCUCAGCAGGGAAACCUGCUGCUGAGCAUGGAGAGGGUUGCUCAGCAGAGAGGAGUGGGACAUUUGCAGAGAAGUGGAUCUCCCAAAGAAGGCUUUUAAAUAGUUCUCUAUGAUCUCCUCUCCCGUGUGGGAUUGGAUAAUCAGAGACCCCUGUAUGCAGAAGUAGAGGCGCUGGCCUCAGGCUCCUCCACUGCCUCUUGGACAGAAGAAGCUGAGCAUUUUUUCAGGAAGUGGUCACCCCAGUGGUCCCCGGCUUUCUCAGACUUCCUGCAGCUCUCUACACGGUGAAUCACACUGAGACACUGGCAGCAGGCACCACGGAAGGGACCCUCAAAUCUGAAGGCUCAAGGUCCUGGGAAAAGACGAAGUGGAGCAUGCCCCUUGUUUCCUACUAUUAGAGGCUGAGUGUUGGAAGUUCUUCCUAGGAUUCACAAAGAAACUCCUGCUCUUCUUCCACUUACUUUUUCCUGGAAAACACAACCUAUUUCAGUGGCAGAAAAGAUCUCCACUGUUAUAGUGAGGUCAAAGUCUGUUUCUGGAACUACCUGCCUGAUGGCCAUACAAAGACAUACACAUGCAGUGGAGAGAAAACUGCACAUUGGUGGAGGUGGGAAGAGGAUGCCAGAGUCUUCUUGUGAGCCAAGAGGACUUACAGCGAGAUUAAAAAGUGCUGUCCAGCUUCUGUGCCAUGGCCUGCACAUCUAUGACCUCAGACAUUAUUCCAGGGAGUAUCUUAGGACAAGAGCAAUCCCCUGAGGUUUCAGUCAACAGCCAUUUCCAGACCAUUAGAGGAAGGAAUGUGAGUCCAGGUUUUUGUUUGAAAAUUCCUCGUUGACGCCUUGUUGUAAUAAGAUCAAGACAUUUACCAACAAUUAGUCCUUUCUUUAAGCCAAUGGGAAACUCGAACUUCCCCCAUGUUUUUGAGAUUAGGUGAAGCCACGUG